CUGCAGUGAUGAGAUGUGUUCCUUCUGAUCUGGUAUUGCCUUCCUCCGGGGAGAUCUCUGACCAGGGAAUGAUCCCACUCCAAUCUUCUCUCUGAGCAG